GGCACGGUACGCAAUUGGCAAAGCGGCAGAGCUCAAAUCUCUGUGAGUUUGUGGGUUCGACUCCCACCCGUGCUA
rnacentral:tRNA from 1 species